rnacentral:rRNA from 1 species
AUUGAUUAAAUUAUUAAUAUUUUUAAAUAAAGUAUUUUUGUUUUUAUUAUUGUUAAAGAAAAAUUAUAAUUUAUUAUAGUAUAUUAGUAUAGUGAUAUAAAUUUAAAAUAUUUGAAAAUUUAAAUAUUGAAAAGAAGAAUUUUAUUUUGUACCUUGGGUAUCAGGGUUUAUUAAUUAAAUAUUAUAAAUUUAAUUUUCUCGAUUUUAAAAGAGUUAAAAAAUUAUAAAUUUUAUUGUAGAAUAAAUAUUUAAAAUAAUUUUUUUGUAAUGAAAUGUUAGUCGUUUUUAAAUAUAUCUAGUUUUUGAAGAAAAAAAUUUAAUUUUAUAUUUUAAAUAUAAUUUAUUAAUUAUUUAGUAAAUUUUUUUAAAAUUUAAAUAUUUUAAGGGAUAAGCUUUAAAGUAAAUUUUUAUAAUUUAAUUAUAAAAAAAGAAAAUUGUAGGAUUAGAAAUUUUCAUCAAUUUAGUUUGUUAUAAUUAAUUUCUUUUUUUAUAUGAUUUUUAUUAAAUUUAUUUUUUUAUUCAAAUUAAUUAUUUAAUUAUUAAAUAUUUGUAAUAAUGAUAAAAUUAGUAUAAUUUUAAUUUAAUAUUAUUUAAUUAAUUUAAGGUAAAUUAAAGGAAUUCGGCAAAAUAUUUCUCGCCUGUUUAUUAAAAACAUGUCUUUUUGAUUUUAAUUUAAAGUCUAACCUGCCCAUUGAGGUUUAAAAGGCCGCGGUAUUUUGACCGUGCGAAGGUAGCAUAAUAAUUAGUUUUUUAAUUGGAAGCUGGAAUGAAUGGUUGAACGAGGAAAUAACUGUCUCUAUUUUAAUAUAUUAGAAUUUUAUUUUUAAGUUAAAAAGCUUAAAUAAAUUUGAAAGACGAGAAGACCCUAUAGAGUUUUAUAUAUUAAUUUUUUUAAGAUUAUUAGUAUUUUAUAUUUUAAUAAUUUUAAUUUAUUUUAUUGGGGUGAUGGAAAAAUUUAAUAAACUUUUUUUUUAUUAAAUCAUUUAUAUAUGAAUUUUUGAUCCAUUUUUAUGAUUAUAAGAUUAAAUUACCUUAGGGAUAACAGCGUAAUUUCUUUAAAGAGUUCAAAUCGAAAAAGAAGUUUGCGACCUCGAUGUUGGAUUAAAAUUAAUUUUUGGUGUAGAAGCUAAAAAUUUUAGGUCUGUUCGACCUUUAAAAUUUUACAUGAUCUGAGUUUAGACCGGCGUGAGCCAGGUUGGUUUCUAUCUUUAAAUUUUAAAUAAUAUUUUAGUACGAAAGGACCAAAUAUUUAUAUUAUUUAUUUUUAAAGAAUUAUUUUAAUU